rnacentral:lncRNA from 1 species
CCACAAUGACUAACCAGUUACUGGUCAUGUUCCGGAUGACCAUUCUUCAAAUAUUUCGUAAUUGAAAUUAGAUCUGUUCAUAUCAUUCUUUAUAGUACAGUUUAAUACUUUACAGAAAAAGCUGCUAAAUGAACAUGUAAUCUGCCAAUUGAAAUAAAGCUAAGUGAAAAAUUGAAGUAAAAGUAAACAUAAAGAAAUCUGUAACUGCACGCUUUAACUGAAGUUGCCCAGUGAACAAAAUAAACACAGCAUAGAAUCAAACAUGGCAAAUUGAAGAGCGCAUAGCUUUGAACUAAACCUUCUAAUUAAAAAAUUAUUCAUACACAGUAGGGAAAUAAUUGUACAAGGAAAUGCUGCAGGUAUCCAUUCAUUGCGACGAUUCAACGUCCAACCAGAUACAGACAAGUAAUUACCAGAUACAUACUAAAGCAACAUUUCAGUCAUCAAGUAUUUACGAUGAUUGUGGACAAAAUUAGGAUUACAACAAGUAUUACUUCACAUAAUCUGCAGCAUCAUUUAUAAAAAAACCAUUUAUAUCAAACUAAAAAGCAUAUAAUUCAUUGAGUCUGCGGUUGUGUGUCUAUCCCCAUAUCUGGAUCUUCUUUUGCUGUUGAUAGCAUAACACUUCGUCUUUUUCUUGCCCAUAAGAACAUUACUGGCAUUGCAGUUCUAGAGUUCAAUUUACCAUAAUACGUGAAAAAAAUUUCGACGGGAAACUUCACCAGUAAUCAAGAAUUUGACAUUAACAUCAACAAUGAAUUGAUCAAUUUUCUUGAACUAGCUAGAUUUCAACCAGAUCAUCCAGAAAGAAUAGAAGUACAACUGAAAUUAAAUAAUCAGAAAGUUCAGUGUCAUGUUUAUAAUUCUAAAUUUGAUCCUCUAUUUCAUAAGGUCAAAACUUAGAUUUUCACAAAAAAAAAUAUUUAAAAACGAUAAAGCUAGUACUCAAGAAUGCUUCUACGCGAUUUAUUCAUGUUACUUGUUUCGGAAUUAUCUUUAGCUGAACCAUCCAUGUGCACAUCUUCAAGAAUGGUCAACAAUUGUGGAUUGUUUGUUUACAAACUUCGUGGCAUAAAAUUGGGGAUUAGGGUUCACAGACUUCGUUACUUCUCAGCUAUUGGGGAUUAGGUAAUUAGGGGGUUCACAGAUAUCGCGACAUAGAACAAUUGAUUUCGGAAAAAUUGUUUGGGAUUAUAGAUCUUAGAGUCGUGCUUUCUGUAAUUUGUAAAUUCGUGUUUGGAAGCUGUCUUUACUGAUGUGGCUGUGAGUUGGCAGGAUAGUUAUUAUUUGGACUGAUUUAGCUGGCAAGCUCAUCUUUCCAUCAUCCAUGUCCGCGCACCUAUUGUUAGAAAAUUAAUCAACACCGG